ACGGGAGGCAGCAGUGGGGAAUAUUGGGCAAUGGGCGCAAGCCUGACCCAGCAACGCCGCGUGAGGGAUGAAGGUCUUCGGAUUGUAAACUUCUUUGAUCAGGGACGAAAUUUUGACGGUACCUGAAGAACAAGUCACGGCUAACUACGUGCCAGCAGCCGCGGUAAUACGUAGGUGACAAGCGUUAUCCGGAUUUACUGGGUGUAAAGGGCGUGUAGGCGGUUUGGCAAGUCAGAAGUGAAAUUCCCGGGCUUAACUUGGGCGCUGCUUCUGAAACUGCUUAACUUGAGUACUGGAGAGGAUAGUGGAAUUCCUAGUGUAGCGGUGAAAUGCGUAGAUAUUAGGAGGAACACCAGUGGCGAAGGCGGCUUACUGGACUGUAACUGACGUUGAGGCUCGAAAGCGUGGGGAGCAAACAGGAUUAGAUACCCUGGUA
rnacentral:rRNA from 1 species